UGAGUGACAUCAAGAAGAGACUUGAGGAGAGAGAGAAGACACUGAAGGGGACAAGGAGGGUGAUGGAUAAGAUGAAGAUAUCUGUGGAAAGAGACAUGGAAGAAAAUAAGAAGAGCUUCACUGCUCUGAUACGGUGCAUUGAGGAAGCCCACAGGAAACUAACAGAGAGGAUCAAAGAACAAGAAAAGA